rnacentral:rRNA from 1 species
CCUGGUUGAUUCUGCCAGUAGUCAUAUGCUUGUCUCAAAGAUUAAGCCAUGCAUGUCCAAGUAUAAGCACUUAUACCGUGAAACUGCGAAUGGCUCAUUAAAUCAGUUAUAGUUUAUUUGAUAGUACCUUUACCUGGAUAACUGUGGUAAUUCUAGAGCUAAUACAUGCUAAAAACCUCGACUUCGGAAGGGGUGUAUUUAUUAGAUAAAAAACCAAUGCCCUUCGGGGCUCCUUGGUGAUUCAUAAUAACUUAACGAAUCGCAUGGCCUUGCGCCGGCGAUGGUUCAUUCAAAUUUCUGCCCUAUCAACUUUCGAUGGUAAGGUAGUGGCUUACCAUGGUCUCAACGGGUAACGGGGAAUUAGGGUUCUAUUCCGGAGAGGGAGCCUGAGAAACGGCUACCACAUCCAAGGAAGGCAGCAGGCGCGCAAAUUACCCAAUCCCGAUACGGGGAGGUAGUGACAAUAAAUACUGAUACGGGGCUCUUUCGGGUCUCGUAAUUGGAAUGAGUACAAUCUAAAUCCCUUAACGAGGAACAAUUGGAGGGCAAGUCUGGUGCCAGCAGCCGCGGUAAUUCCAGCUCCAAUAGCGUAUAUUAAAGUUGUUGCCGUUAAAAAGCUCGUAGUUGAACCUUGGACCUGGCUGAUCUGUCCUCCUAAUCGAGCGUACGGAUUCGGUCGGGUCUUUUCUUCUGGGGAGCCUUAUGCCCUUUACUGGGUGUAAUGGGGAACCAGGACUUUUACCUUGAAAAAAUUAGAGUGUUCAAAGCAGGCCUUUGCUCGAAUACAUUAGCAUGGAAUAAUAGAAUAGGACAUCGGUUCUAUUUUGUUGGUUUCUAGGACCGCUGUAAUGAUUAAUAGGGAUAGUCGGGGGCGUCCGUAUUCAAUUGUCAGAGGUGAAAUUCUUGGAUUUAUUGAAGACGAACUACUGCGAAAGCAUUCGCCAAGGAUGUUUUCAUUAAUCAGUGAACGAAAGUUAGGGGAUCGAAGACGAUCAGAUACCGUCGUAGUCUUAACCAUAAACUAUGCCGACUAGGGAUCGGACGGUGGUUUUUUUAUGCCCCGUUCGGCACCUUACGAGAAAUCAAAGUGUUUGGGCUCGGGGGGGAGUAUGGUCGCAAGGCUGAAACUUAAAGAAAUUGACGGAAGGGCACCACAAGGCGUAAACAGCCGUAGUUAACUCUGCGCCGAAAAGGCACCUAGACACAAAUAGGUCGUGGACAGUCCUCCACCUCUGGUGGGAAAAAGCCUAGUUAACCCUUACUGCUUCCCUGGAAGUAAACAGGCCUGCUGUGGUA